rnacentral:rRNA from 1 species
CCUACGGGCGGCAGCAGUGGGGAAUAUUGGACAAUGGGCGAAAGCCUGAUCCAGCCAUGCCGCGUGUGUGAAGAAGGCCUUCGGGUUGUAAAGCACUUUCAUUGGGGAAGAAAGCCUUGGGGCUAAUACCCUCGAGGAAGGACAUCACCCACAGAAGAAGCACCGGCUAACUCCGUGCCAGCAGCCGCGGUAAUACGGAGGGUGCGAGCGUUAAUCGGAAUUACUGGGCGUAAAGCGCGCGUAGGCGGUCUGAUAAGCCGGUUGUGAAAGCCCCGGGCUCAACCUGGGAACGGCAUCCGGAACUGUCAGGCUAGAGUGCAGGAGAGGAAGGUAGAAUUCCCGGUGUAGCGGUGAUAUGCGUAGAGAUCGGGAGGAAUACCAGUGGCGAAGGCGGCCUUCUGGACUGACACUGACGCUGAGGUGCGAAAGCGUGGGUAGCAAACAGGAUUAGAUACCCCAGUAGUC